AUCUACGGCCAUACUACCCUGAAUGUGCCCGAUCUCGUCUGAUCUCGGAAGCUAAGCAGGGUCGGGCCUGGUUAGUACUUGGAUGGGAGAUAAUGGGAUAUUCACAAUU
rnacentral:rRNA from 1 species